UAGGGUGUUUUGAGUUGUUGCUAUGGGAUUCUGAUAUCUUGUUAACCAAAACAAAAUCAACAAAUCUGACAGUUCAUGUGUGCAAAACGUAAGUCAAAAUGUGUCAUGUAUCCAGUUUCAUCCUAGAACAGAGUGACCAUAGACAUAAAAACCUGUUUGGAAA